rnacentral:lncRNA from 1 species
ACCUGUAAGUGUUCGACUUACGUAUUUUUGGACUCCUCUUUGAUUUUUUUUUUUUUUGAAAUUUGACUUUUGUUCCUGUAGUGCGGCGUCGGAUGUCGACCCCGGCCAGGUUGCCAGCCAAGGGAUGGGCGAGCCUGCCCGCGGUUCUGGGGAUGCGGCCCCCCAGACCACAGAGCAGCCAACAGCUGCAGUCGCGCCUGGGAGCACCGAGGGGCUCCCGAGCGGGGCACCGACUACGACAAGAAGCCCGACCAGGGCUGGAGAGGCUCCCCCAACUGGCUCCUCAGAGAAGGGAAGAUCUCCGACCGCUCCUCCUGCCGGGGGGAGUGAAGUCCCCACGCCGCCCCGAGCAGGAGCCUCCUCUGCUGCGGGAUCCCCAGGUCUGGUCCAAGGGCCAGUAAUACCUGGGACCACCACCGGGGGUGAUGCAGCAC